CAUGGAGUUUGAUCCUGGCUCAGAUUGAACGCUGGCGGCAUGCUUUACACAUGCAAGUCGAACGGUAACAGGUUAAGCUGACGAGUGGCGAACGGGUGAGUAAUGCAUCGGAACGUGCCGGUCGUGGGGAUAACGCAGCGAAAGCUGCGCUAAUACCGCAUACGAUCUGAGGAUGAAAGCGGGGGACCGUAAGGCCUCGCGCGAUCGGAGCGGCCGAUGUCAGAUUAGGUAGUUGGUGGGUAAAGGCUCACCAAGCCAACGAUCUGUAGCUGGUCUGAGAGGACGACCAGCCAC
rnacentral:rRNA from 1 species